rnacentral:rRNA from 1 species
UACGGGGGGGGCAAGCGUUGUUCGGAAUUACUGGGCGUAAAGGGCUCGUAGGCGGCCAACUAAGUCGGAUGUGAAAUCCCCAGGCUUAACCUGGGAACUGCAUCCGAUACUGGAUGGCUUGAAUCCGGGAGAGGGAUGCGGAAUCCAGGUGUAGCGGUGAAAUGCGCAGAUAUCGGGAGGAACACCGGUGGCGAAGGCGGUUCUCUGGGCCUGUACUGACGCUGAGGAGCGAAAGCGUGGGGAGCGAACAGG